CUUCCAGUGAUGAUAACUUGUCCAGUUCUGCUACUGAAGGAAAGCGAUGAUCACCUUUAUAUCUGAGGAAG